AGUGAACGCUGGCGGUAGGCCUAACACAUGCAAGUCGAACGGCAGCACAGUAAGAGCUUGCUCUUACGGGUGGCGAGUGGCGGACGGGUGAGGAAUACAUCGGAAUCUACUUUUUCGUGGGGGAUAACGUAGGGAAACUUACGCUAAUACCGCAUACGACCUACGGGUGAAAGCAGGGGAUCUUCGGACCUUGCGCGAUUGAAUGAGCCGAUGGCGGAUUAGCUAGGUGGCGGGGUAAAGGCCCACCAAGGCGACGAUCCGUAGCUGGUCUGAGAGGAUGAUCAGCCACACUGGAACUGAGACACGGUCCAGACUCCUACGGGAGGCAGCAGUGGGGAAUAUUGGACAAUGGGCGCAAGCCUGAUCCAGCCAUACCGCGUGGGUGAAGAAGGCCUUCGGGUUGUAAAGCCCUUUUGUUGGGAAAGAAAAGCAGCAGGUUAAUACCCCGCUGUUCUGACGGUACCCAAAGAAUAAGCACCGGCUAACUUCGUG
rnacentral:rRNA from 1 species